AGAAAUAGUAAUGGAAAAAUAGUGUUUAAAAUAUGAUUUUAUGUUUUUAAUGAGAUUAAAGAGAGAGAAACUUGAGUAGUCAAGUAUUGGACCCAAAUGUCAUAUAAUUUUAAUUGAGGAUUUUUAUAAAAUUAAGAAAGUUUUGCUAAAGGGCUUAUUUGAAAAGAAUUUUAAUAUUUUGGGUCCAAGUGUAAUUUUAAAAAUAAUUUAAAAAAAAAAAAAAAAAAAGAAAAGAAAAGAAAAGGCUUCAGCCUUUCUUUUUUUACCCGAGUCUCUCUCUCUCUCUUCAGAAAACCUCUCUCUCUCUCUCUCUCUCUCUCUCUCUCUCUCUCUCUCUCUCUCUCUCUCUCUCUCCUCUGCGUAUUACUGUUGCCGACGACGCAGGAGUACUUUCCGGCCACCAUUUUUAGCCACGCGCCGGACCGUUGGAUUCAGAGGCCUCCGAACUAUCGACCCACGCGGGAAUCUAGAGCUCACUCGCCGAUUAAACGCCUCAACCACUCGAUUUAAGUUCGGCCACCCCGCGACUUCAAAGUUGCGAUUCGGCCACCUCGGGCAUCCGUUUGCCGAUCCGUCACCACCAUCGUGCUCCUCGUGUUGUGGGCUUCAAAACCCAAUAACUUGUUCCUACAUCUACCAUAGUUGGGUGGUGGGCCCACCACGAGCCACCGCGAUCCACCGUAGACCGACGAUCGAAACUUAGUGUUCGAGGUUCCGAAGUACGUUUUGAGUCUCAGAAAAUCAUCGUUUGACUUAUUGUGGAACCCGAUCAUUUUGGAUUUGUAUGGAUUUGAUUGAUUGACUCUUGGUGAGGAAUUUUAAAAUAAGCUAAGGACCUAAGGUAAGUAAAUCUCACCUUUUGUGCUUAAGUGUAAGAUGCAUGACUACAUUGAUUGUGUACAUCUGAUGAGUUAAGUAUGGUAUGAUGAUGAUGCAUAUGAUAAGUAUGUGAAGAAUGGUUAUAUGAACACCAUAAGGGUGUUGUGUGAUAUGUAAUUGAUGAAUUCUGUGAUAUGUGAAAGAUGUCUUAUUUGGUUAAGAAUGAUAUGAAUUAUGUGCAAGUAUGUGUUCUUAUGUUGAUGGAUAUGUGGAUUACUCUAUGUUCAUGAUUUGUUAUAUGUUAUGAUAUAUGAAGCGUUUAAGUUUUUAGGCUGGAAACCUUAGACCUGAGCCAUAGCUCUACGUUAAGGUAUAACAACGCCACCAACCCAAAGCUUCAUGUAUUAUGACUAAAGAUGUUUUGAGUUAUAUGAGAUGUGAUACAAUGCCUUGAUUGAAUACCAUCAACAUGAGUCAUGAACACGAACAUUGGCAUUUCAGCAUCAGCAUGUAUGCAUGGCAUGUACAGUUAUGUGAUACAUUAUUAUGUGAUAUAAGACCAUGCAUAUGAAUAUAAGAAAAGUUAUGAAAUGUCUUGAAAAGUAUUAUGUAAAGUUAAACAUUUUAAUGACACAAGGCUUAAGCAAAGUGAUAAUAAGAUGUUUAAAACGGGUGCCACUGUUUUGAUGAAGCAAUCAAGUAAGUUCAGUAAAGAAGACGGAAGUCUAUAAGACUUAUAGUGGCUGCCCACUAGUGUGGGCUAGGUCAGAGUUGACCAUUCAGAUAUGUUUGCCAUGUUUCCGUCUUUCUCCUCCAUAUGUGUAAUAAGUAUGGCAGCUAUGGCAACGAUGAAAUGAGUGUUAUGAUGAGCCUAGCUGAGAUGAUGGCUAGCCGGAGGAGAACCCAUGGGAUUCUAUAUGAUAUGUGUAACAAGCCCUGCAGGCAUUGGCUGAAUCAAACAGUGUGCACAAGUGAUAUUGGGCCCAUAAAAAUGUGAAACUAAAAGAAAGAGCAUAAAAGUAAAGUUUGAAAGUGCAUGAGCAAUAAAUGAAAUUCAUAAGUAUAUAAGUCAGCAUAUUAGUAUAUGUGCACUACAAACUCACGACAUUCAUGUGUAUGUGUAUGCAUGAGAUUUGCUUACUGAGCGUUAGCUCAUUAUGUUAUUUUCCAACAUUUUUCCAGGUGUGGCUUUAGCUGUUGAGCAACUUGUGGAGCACGGACUCAGUAGCAAUGCAAUAAUGGUUUAGAGUUUUCAUAUGGCUGCCUUAAAUUUAAAGUAUUCAUACGUGUAAUAAUUUCUACUAAUAAGUUUAUAUAAAAGUUUUUAAUUUUUCUGUAUUUCUUCGUAUCAGUUUAUUUAAUUCUUUUGGUCAAGUGCCUUACAUACUCGCAAACCCUAGAAUUACGAGUAUGUGGCAGACGUACCCUACCUUAGGGACGUUACAAAUGGUAUCAGAGAUUUGAGUUUGUAGAUGUCGUGUACUCGUUAUGUUAUUAGAUUUUGGGAUCUGAAAUGCUACUGAGUUCCGCCACAAGACAAGCCACACGUUAAUGGUUAGUAUAAUUUAUCCAUAUUUUAGUUAAUGUAUGUUAAUGAUGUUGUAUAAUUGUAUUAGAAACUCAUUGUGUGUUUGAGUUUCCAUGAUAUAAGUAUGAGUUUGGAUUGAAUGAAUAUUCUCAUGCACGGUAGAGGAAUUGAAGUUUGUUAUUUAUCUGAAUGCAUGACUUUAUUAUUGAUGUGAUAAAUAAUUGAUGAUUUAUCGAUGUCGAUGUUUGGAUUGUUAAUUGAUAUUCUCAAGCUUUGAAAGUGACCUAUCAGUUCAGUUAGUGUGUUAAGGGUUAAUAUGUCAGGUUAGUGUUUUGGAGAGCAAAGUUUUAGGUUGUUGCUGAGAGCACACAUAAUAAGAGACUUUAGUGAAACAGUAGUAAUAUAUAGAAAAAAAAAAAGAAAAAUACAUAAUACAUUAAGGAUUGGGGUUUUGGACACGUUCUACCUCGUCAAUCAACUUUUGUUGUUCAACUCUAAGGGUCUCCCCAGUAGUUUGCAGUGUCUGAAAUUUUUCCUUCAUAUCGACUGAGUAGUUAGCAAGAAGUGUAGUUAAAGUCUCAUUCUCCUUAACCAACUUCUCCUUCUCUCGAGUCAAUGCCUUGUUGGCAUUUCUAAUGGUUAUCAUCUCUUGUUUUUGUGUUUCUAUAUACCUUUUCAAGUGGUCAACCUCUUGUUCUCUUGCAAGAACCCGUUGGCCUAGGUUUGAGACCGAUGCUGCCGCCUGAGUGGUAAGAACUAAGGAAUCUUUUACAGCUUGUAGGUCUGACCUAUGGGAUAAAAUUAUUUGGUCUUUAGGGGUGAGUAUGCUUUGACCUAUACUAAUGGCCACCUUUUUAUCGAGCAUAGCUGAAUCCUCCACCGUGACAAGGCCAGUAUCAGAAUAAAAUUUGGGAAGCCAAACUCUGGGAAAUUGAGUAUUUCGUUCUGGGAUGUGUACCGUAGGAUACACCAUUAGCUGUGGUAGGGGUGCAGAAAUUUGUGGUGAAGAUGCGAUAGUGGGAAGAUUUGGCUCAGGUAAAGCUAAAAUUAGGUCUAAGUUCAGCUGAGAUGAUGAGGAUGCCAUGGAUUGCUUAGCUUGAGUAAUGGACGGAAGUAAUAAUGAUUUGGUUUUCAAAAGCUUGAGAUUGAUUGUGUUUUAGUGUGUAUGUGAUGAAUUUUAUUUAUAGAAAAAUGUGUUGAACUGUUGGGUCAUUGGAUCCUUGAAUUUGUUUGUUUUCAAGAUAGAUAUCACAGAUUUUAUCUUGUUCAAUGUGUUACGCUACCCUCUCUGAUGAUGAAAGUCAAACUUAUUAGAUGUUGUCGACAUGGAAAUCACUUCUAUUGAUUUUGCGAUCCUGAUUUGAACAUGGAAACAAUUUGUAAAUUGUUGAAUGAAUCGAGGUGAUAAAUGUUAUUUACUGAAUUACUCUGUAGUGUGAAUUACUUUCGGCGAUUAAAUUAUAGUAUAUUAGCUGUUUUAUCCCGAAAGUAAGAUAAUGUAUUACUUGUGUGAAGUGAUGACUGAGUAUUAUUGGUAUAGGUGUUGAAAUGAGACAUGUCUAACUUAUUAGACAUGUGAGAAUUAUUCGUUUUAGUAGAUGAAGUGGUAGAUUGGUCAGUCAAGACUUAUCCCAUGUUUUAUUCAAUGAAGGGAUACUAAGCUAAGUGUGUGAAUUUCCGAGUGGCCACAGUUAUUUGCAUUCUAGCAUAGUAUCAAUGUGCCCUUUAUUAUUUUAUACAUUUGGAAAAAAAAAAAAAAAAAUUUGAUUUUUAAAUGUUUUCUUAGAGAAAGAAUGAGAGUCAGGCUUUUCUGAAAUGGUACCUAAUGAAUGGCCUAUCUCACUAUUUCUCAUUCAGGGCAAGCGGUCGGUUUUGACAACGAAAGGGUUUCAUAAAGACUUGGUUUUAAAGAAUAAUCUUCAUCGGCUAUAUAAUUGUUUUCUAGUUAUCUAAUUUUAUGCAAAAAAAAAAAAAAAAAAAAAAAAAAAUUGACUGUAAGACAUGAAGAUCAAGGAUGUUUUCAUGAUGAUGGUCAUUUUAUCUUCUUACGUUAUGUGGUUUGUGUUCAAAAGUAUGGAUGAUGAUGAUUCAUUUGUAUUUUCGUAUACAUUCAUUGUAAUUUAUACUAUUGUUAUAGCUUAUUUCCUUUCUUUCUAUAUUGUAGUCCUCAUGUGAGGUGUUUACACAUCCUCGCCUUUUUAUAUAUGAUAAGGAUUACAAGUCAGGAAUAAGUUUUGUUUUCGUGGUGAAAGUAAGUGUUGUGUAUAAAAUGUUGUUCUGUUUAUUUGUAAUGGUAGUUCUUGUCUCCGAUUAUCAAAUUUUAGUUUGAAAUUUCGAGGACGAAAUUAUUUUAACGGGGGAAGGAUUGUAAUAUCCAACAUUUUCAUAAUACAUUUAUUUAUAAUAAAUCAGAGUUUUAAUACAUAAAAUGUACAAGUUUACAAAUUUAAGAAAUAGUAAUGGAAAAAUAGUGUUUAAAAUAUGAUUUUAUGUUUUUAAUGAGAUUAAAGAGAGAGAAACUUGAGUAGUCAAGUAUUGGACCCAAAUGUCAUAUAAUUUUAAUUGAGGAUUUUUAUAAAAUUAAGAAAGUUUUGCUAAAGGGCUUAUUUGAAAAGAAUUUUAAUAUUUUGGGUCCAAGUGUAAUUUUAAAAAUAAUUUAAAAAAAAAAAAAAAAAAAGAAAAGAAAAGAAAAGGCUUCAGCCUUUCUUUUUUUACCCGAGUCUCUCUCUCUCUCUUCAGAAAACCUCUCUCUCUCUCUCUCUCUCUCUCUCUCUCUCUCUCUCUCUCUCUCUCUCUCUCUCCUCUGCGUAUUACUGUUGCCGACGACGCAGGAGUACUUUCCGGCCACCAUUUUUAGCCACGCGCCGGACCGUUGGAUUCAGAGGCCUCCGAACUAUCGACCCACGCGGGAAUCUAGAGCUCACUCGCCGAUUAAACGCCUCAACCACUCGAUUUAAGUUCGGCCACCCCGCGACUUCAAAGUUGCGAUUCGGCCACCUCGGGCAUCCGUUUGCCGAUCCGUCACCACCAUCGUGCUCCUCGUGUUGUGGGCUUCAAAACCCAAUAACUUGUUCCUACAUCUACCAUAGUUGGGUGGUGGGCCCACCACGAGCCACCGCGAUCCACCGUAGACCGACGAUCGAAACUUAGUGUUCGAGGUUCCGAAGUACGUUUUGAGUCUCAGAAAAUCAUCGUUUGACUUAUUGUGGAACCCGAUCAUUUUGGAUUUGUAUGGAUUUGAUUGAUUGACUCUUGGUGAGGAAUUUUAAAAUAAGCUAAGGACCUAAGGUAAGUAAAUCUCACCUUUUGUGCUUAAGUGUAAGAUGCAUGACUACAUUGAUUGUGUACAUCUGAUGAGUUAAGUAUGGUAUGAUGAUGAUGCAUAUGAUAAGUAUGUGAAGAAUGGUUAUAUGAACACCAUAAGGGUGUUGUGUGAUAUGUAAUUGAUGAAUUCUGUGAUAUGUGAAAGAUGUCUUAUUUGGUUAAGAAUGAUAUGAAUUAUGUGCAAGUAUGUGUUCUUAUGUUGAUGGAUAUGUGGAUUACUCUAUGUUCAUGAUUUGUUAUAUGUUAUGAUAUAUGAAGCGUUUAAGUUUUUAGGCUGGAAACCUUAGACCUGAGCCAUAGCUCUACGUUAAGGUAUAACAACGCCACCAACCCAAAGCUUCAUGUAUUAUGACUAAAGAUGUUUUGAGUUAUAUGAGAUGUGAUACAAUGCCUUGAUUGAAUACCAUCAACAUGAGUCAUGAACACGAACAUUGGCAUUUCAGCAUCAGCAUGUAUGCAUGGCAUGUACAGUUAUGUGAUACAUUAUUAUGUGAUAUAAGACCAUGCAUAUGAAUAUAAGAAAAGUUAUGAAAUGUCUUGAAAAGUAUUAUGUAAAGUUAAACAUUUUAAUGACACAAGGCUUAAGCAAAGUGAUAAUAAGAUGUUUAAAACGGGUGCCACUGUUUUGAUGAAGCAAUCAAGUAAGUUCAGUAAAGAAGACGGAAGUCUAUAAGACUUAUAGUGGCUGCCCACUAGUGUGGGCUAGGUCAGAGUUGACCAUUCAGAUAUGUUUGCCAUGUUUCCGUCUUUCUCCUCCAUAUGUGUAAUAAGUAUGGCAGCUAUGGCAACGAUGAAAUGAGUGUUAUGAUGAGCCUAGCUGAGAUGAUGGCUAGCCGGAGGAGAACCCAUGGGAUUCUAUAUGAUAUGUGUAACAAGCCCUGCAGGCAUUGGCUGAAUCAAACAGUGUGCACAAGUGAUAUUGGGCCCAUAAAAAUGUGAAACUAAAAGAAAGAGCAUAAAAGUAAAGUUUGAAAGUGCAUGAGCAAUAAAUGAAAUUCAUAAGUAUAUAAGUCAGCAUAUUAGUAUAUGUGCACUACAAACUCACGACAUUCAUGUGUAUGUGUAUGCAUGAGAUUUGCUUACUGAGCGUUAGCUCAUUAUGUUAUUUUCCAACAUUUUUCCAGGUGUGGCUUUAGCUGUUGAGCAACUUGUGGAGCACGGACUCAGUAGCAAUGCAAUAAUGGUUUAGAGUUUUCAUAUGGCUGCCUUAAAUUUAAAGUAUUCAUACGUGUAAUAAUUUCUACUAAUAAGUUUAUAUAAAAGUUUUUAAUUUUUCUGUA